CGGGUGGCGUGGCCCUCACGGGCAGAUCCGCCCCUGGUAGGAACUAUGCUCUUUGUCCAUAGUUUCAACAUUCCUAGGGCUCGAACCUGAGAUUUCUGGUUAAAGGUCCUAUUUAUUCCUGUGCAGUUCAUAGUAGUAGUUGCUGGUGUACAAUGGCUACAUAGGUUACAUGACAAUCAUGAAUCAUUACUCAUGGAUUUGUGGGUCAGGAGGUUAACUUAGUUGCAACUUGCAACUGUACUUGUCACAAUCAAGAAUAUCUUGGUACAGCUGAUGAUAAUGUAAUGUAAGAUAACAAAUGAUGAUCCACCAAAAUAUUUGUUGUGUUACCUGAUAUCUUUUUGCAGUGUCAACGCAUGACAGGAUAUCACAACCAUUUUUAGCAGAUGAGCUAAAACUUUCAGGAAGCUGAUAAUGAUUAUUGAUGCUGAGAAAUUUAUUUCAAUCAUUCUGGAUUUGUCAGAAAUGCUUUCUUCCAAGAGUAACUCCAUUUUCAGGGCUCGAACUUGAGAUCUCUAGUUAAAGCUAUAAGGAUAUCAUCCAUCCCACCAGACUCGUUGCUGGUAUAUUUCAAGUUGCAUAUAUGCAAUCACAAAAUAAGUAUAGCACAAUCCUAAAUGAUUACUCAUGAAUUUGUGGGACAAGAGGCAAAUUUAGUUGCAACUACACUGGUCACAAUCGAGAAAUUCUUGGUACAGCUGACGAUAAUGUAAUGUAAGAUGAGCUAAAACUAUCAGGAGGAUUAAUAAUGAUUAGUGAUGGUGAGAAAUGUGUCAAUCAUUCUGGAUUUGUAAGUGAAUGCAUGACAGGAUAUCACAAUCAUUUUUAGAGAUGAGCUAAAACUUUCAGGAGGAUUGAUAAUGAUUAAUGGUGCUGAGAAAUUUGUUUCAAUCAUCCUGGAAUGGUAAGUGGUGAUGCAGCUGGCGCGCUAACACCUGGACCAAUAGAGUGGCGCUAAGGUCUUACUCUCUCUUAUAAAAGGAAGAUGUGGCAUCAGCAAAACUUAGCUUUUGCAAUCAAAAGUUUACUCUCUGAAGCAAAAGCCUUUUUCAUCAGAUUACUGCUCACUUUCAACAAGGGACCUGAUAGAACAGCAGUUCAGAUUUUGUUGAUUUCUUGAGUUGUAGUCUUUUGUGCUUACCAUUGUAAACCUACUCCUAUGUUAUAAAGGAUUGUAGGUAUCAGUCUUGUCUAGGUCUUAGAUUGAGUCGUGUUAACUAGAGCUAGUUAUCGAUUCAGCUUUGGUUUAGUCAAGAUUUCUUCAUCAUGCCUUAUGUUAUUCUGGGUAGAGUUACCUAGGGAAUCAACUAGAGUUGGUUGAUUUGAAGGGUGCAAUAGGGUUGCUGCACAAAUCUUACUGGAAAUCCUGUGAGAUAGAUUGUGUUUUUCCCUCCCUUGUGCAAGGAGCUUUUCACGUAAAUAUUGAGUGUUCUUUAUUUCA